GAGUUUGAUCCUGGCUCAGGACGAACGCUGGCGGCGUGCUUAACACAUGCAAGUCGAGCGAUGAAGCUUCCUUCGGGAAGUGGAUUAGCGGCGGACGGGUGAGUAACACGUGGGCAACCUGCCUCAAAGAGGGGAAUAGCCCUCCGAAAGGAGGAUUAAUACCGCAUAAAGUUAGAGUUUCGCAUGAAACUUUAACCAAAGGAGUAAUCCGCUUUGAGAUGGGCCCGCGUCCCAUUAGCUAGUUGGUAGGGUAAUGGCUUACCAAGGCAACGAUGGGUAGCCGACCUGAGAGGGUGAUCGGCCACAUUGGAACUGAGACACGGUCCAGACUCCUCCGGGAGGCAGCAGUGGGGAAUAUUGCGCAAUGGGGGAAACCCUGACGCAGCAACGCCGCGUGGGUGAUGAAGGUUUUCGGAUCGUAAAACCCUGUUUUCUGGGACGAUAAUGACGGUACCAGAUGAGGAAGCCACGGCUAACUACGUGCCAGCAGCCGCGGUAAUAC
rnacentral:rRNA from 1 species